AAUCUGCUCAACGUCCUGUUGGGUCACGUGCUCACGCCAGAACUUGGCACACGCGGGCUGAGCCUGUAUCGCGUGUUCGCCAGGCCUCCUGCUGGUCCGCCCCAAACCAUACGGCCGAAGACGAGGGGAGGAAAAGGGGGUGUUAUAACCAGGAAAAAAGGGACCGGUAGCUGAGUAGGGGGAGACCACAGACCUCACCCCCAGAGACCCAUUGGGUCGUUUGAGAAUCAAGGACAGUCAGUUGCAGAGUGUGGAGGGCAAAGCUCGGCACCUGACGCGCACCUGGGGCUCGUCUAAGCCAGCGACCCCCACGCCCCCACGGGGUCCGCGGAUGUGCCGCCCUAAGCCUGCCGCUUCGGUUCCCCUUUUUCGGGGCUUUCUUUUUUCUUCCGCUAGAUUUUUGCAUUUUUCUGAAGUCUCGGACUUUGUUUUUUUAUAUAUAUACAGAAAAUAAAAUGGGGAAAAAAUUUUUUUUAAGCUGCAAGUCGGAGCUCCCAGUGCCUGCUGCCUUCCCCGACCCUCGCAUCAGCUUUGCGAGAGUGCUCGCUCCCCAGACGGCAGAGGCAGCCAUCGGGUCGGGGGCCAGGCCUCGGCAGCGGCAGGCGACGGUGAUGGGGGGGCAGCCGGCCCCAUUAAGUCAGCACAACCCGCCCGGGCGUGGGCGAGCAGAGUCCUCGGACUUGGCCCUCGUCAAGGGAACCGUGCAAGCAGCCGGCUAAAUUCUACGGCCUCGUGGCUCAAACACAGGCUCAUCACAGGCUCUCCUAAGGUCUAGCUGGGGCUUCCUGGCAUUAUGUUUUCAUCCGGGACACGCUUAUUGAGUACCUGCUACCUGCCAGGCACCGUCCUAGGCACGGGGGACACAGCAGUGAACGGAGAAGCCCAAACCCCUGGCUUGGUGGAGCGGACAUUCUAGCAGGGAUAACUAAUUGUAAAGGUAACGAUUAGACAACUGACUUUGAGGAAAGCUAGCCACCAUGUCAUGAAGACACUCAAGCAGCUCUAGGGAGUGGUCCACACGUGCGGAACUGAGGCCUCCUGCCAACGGCCGUGUUGAGUGCGCCAUCUUGGAAGCAGAUCCUCCAGUCCCAGUUGAGCUUUCAGAAGACAGCAGACCCCACCAACACCUUGACUGCAACCCACAAGAGACCCUGAGCCAAAACCAUUCAUCUAAGCCACUCCCAGAUUCCCGGCUCUUGGAAAUCGAGUGAGAUAACAAAUGUUCAUUAUGUUAAGCUGCAAUCCCAGUUUCUGGAAUCGACCCUGAAGAUACACUUCCAAUGAUACUACACAGAUAUACUGUCUUUGAAAAGCCUCAGCACAAAGGCCCUGUGCUUACAUGACCUGGUAGGUGGAGCACCCCCACCCUGAUGCCUCCUUUCCGGACUUGGAGAUGCCCCCGGGGACGAUGCGAACCCUGCCCGGCCGCCACUCGCUGCCUGCCCUUGGUCAGAGAAAGCGGGCCCACUCCUGCACGGCCAGGGACCAGCCUCAACGCCUCCCCCGUCGGGGCUAUGGAGGGGGCAGGCGUCCACUCUCUCCCCACUCCCUGGGGCUCCUCCAGUUGGACCCCUACAGAGCCAGGCAGAGGUUUGGCUGACGGGCAGUGGGUCACCGGUGGGCGGAGACCCUCCCUAACAUUCCUGGCCUCCUCCAAGCCUCUGAACUGUCUUAGAGAUCGAGAGAAAAGGUCAAUGCCUGACCUUGGGGAGAGCCCCCCUCUUGCCCUGCCCUUCCUUCGUGGAUUGCACCCCUGCCCUUUGCUUCCCGUGGCUCCCUCUCUGCCGGUCUCCCGUGUGCCUGUCCCCCACCUGGAAGGCGCCUUCCUACUUUUGCGCCACCCAACGCUGACUGUGUCCACAAGAUUCUUGGGGGGCCUCGAGCCACAUCCCGCCCUGAGCCUCGGUCUCUUCCUGUGAUGAAGCAGGAGCACAGAGUGCGGGUGAGCAUGAGAGAGGGUGCCUGUCUCUCGCGCGUCACUGGGCGGCCAGGCGGUGCCUCAGGACAGAGUGUGACACACGUGCAGCCAAGUUGAAGGCAGUAAGUACCACCCAGGGAAGAGACCGGUGCACGACGGAGACCACGGAGAACACACACACACACACACACACACACACACACACACACACUGAGCUCAGAUGGUCAGGUGGGGCGGGGUUUACUCGCAGCGAGGUUGGAGAGGACAGAUGCACAAGCACCAGCCCCUUGCGGUGCCUCAGUCCCCCAUGGGCUGCCCGCACCCCACUUCCUGCUGCAGUGGAAGGGCCCCAACCCAUCCCGUGUAGGGUCUGAAAUACAGACGGCGGCGGGCACGCUUGAGGGCCACUGACCCGCACGCUCGAGCAGAACGAAGGAACACACACUGGGUCUGAAAUAGGUAAAGGUCCCCCCAUGCGAGGCGAUCAUCCCUUCACAGCCUGCGCGGGCUCCCUACCUCCUGAGAAAGAAGGGUUCCAGGCCAGGGUCCAUCCUUAUGUGACCAAGCAGGGACCAAACGGCUGCCUUUCCCAGCACAGCUCGUUAAGUGGCAUCUGUUAUUGUACCUCCAGGCUUUCUCCCCUUUCCCUCCGGGGGCCAUACCUCCACUCACCAUGAUUUCACAGGCUGUGAAUCCCUGACCCGCCCCAUCCACCCAUACGCUAAGGGGGCGGGGUAUCCUGCAGAGCAGAUCACCGUUCCCACCCAUCUCGGGACACUGAACCCUCUGGUGUUUCAGGGUAUCCACCUAUAAUGUGGAGCCCCACGCCACAUCCGUGGGCCGUGGACCUCCUCUUCGAACAGCGGCUGCCCCUCCCCUCACAACCUGUGCCAUUUUACGGGAUCGUUACCUUGUGGCAACGGAGACAAGUGGCAGCUACAUCCCCGGUCUCUAUGGCUCCGUCCAUAUCAUGAAGCUCCAAGAUCUUAACGUCCCUGUGGUGCAACUUUUAACUUCUUCUUAACUAAGAAUUAGCUCAGAGGUAAUUGCUUAAAUCGCACCGAUGAAAAUCAAUACGGAGUAAAUUAAACGAAAAGCAAAAUUUA